rnacentral:rRNA from 1 species
UACGAAGGGGGCUAGCGUUGUUCGGAUUUACUGGGCGUAAAGCGCACGUAGGCGGAUUGUUAAGUCAGGGGUGAAAUCCUGGAGCUCAACUCCAGAACUGCCUUUGACACUGGCAAUCUAGAGUCCGGAAGAGGUGAGUGGAACUCCUAGUGUAGAGGUGGAAUUCGUAGAUAUUAGGAAGAACACCAGUGGCGAAGGCGGCUCACUGGUCCGGUACUGACGCUGAGGUGCGAAAGCGUGGGGAGCAAACAGG